UUUAUAACUCCAGAUAUGGGCUGAACACUAAACAAUGUCUAGGCUGCAUGAUAGAUUUAGAUUUCUCUUUUAUUGCUAAAAUUUGAGCUUGAAAACGGUAGUUUUGAAUCUUGGACUCUUCAUGAAUGUUUUAGGCCUAUAUCUUAGCUUUCCAUC
rfam:Populus trichocarpa scaffold_13_contig_80, whole genome shotgun sequence.